rnacentral:lncRNA from 1 species
UUUUUUUGCUGCAUUCAUGUGAUCAUCAGACACAUGUUAUUUCAACAACUUAAAAGUGAUUGUGAUUCGCUACACCUUCAUGGGACAACUAGAUUUUAUUUAUUUUUGCAGCUAUUCAUACACAGUGAUUCCAACUAGCCAUUUUCAUUGUUGUAACCUGUCAGAAUAACCAGCCAAUACAAAAAUCAGCUGCAUUUUCAUUGUUGUAACCCACAAGAACCAUUCGUCCAGCUCCUACAACAUCAUAAAUUUUGCUGCCAUCAUGUAACCACAGCCCCACACAGACCGCAGGCCACCGCCGCCACAAGAACAAUCACCAGCCACAUGCCAAAAAAAAUGUAAAUUCUCUAGUCAUCACCACACGCCACACAAUGUUAAUCAGGCAUGAAAUACCUUUUAAUCCACCCCGGCGCUUACUGAUCUGGCUUGACCGCGGACUCCCCGGACUCCGUAGGACCGCUGUCUGUACUGUUCUCACCCCCAGGGUUGCCGCAACUGUCGUGAGCAACCACCGACGAAUCUCGCAGUGCAGCGCCCCCAGCCCUCGAUCUCACCCACCUCGUCCUGAACAGAGCCGUGCGACGACGACCACAAAUUCAAGAUCGACAAGCUGCACACGAAAGCAACCAAUGAAAAGCACUGUUAGCCUCACGAGCGGAUUGAAUGUGGCGCCCAAUUCUGGUUUGACAACUUCGUCCCCGCUCGUUCUGCAAAACCACGUAUCGGCUUUUCUAGGGCACCCAUUCUACCAGGGCAAGGCAUCCACUCUAUUGGAUUUGCUCCCACUCGAACCAUACAACCCAAUCAAACCCACCACCACAGCCCCCCAACGCACACCGCCCGAACCAAAAAAUAGAGAGUCAAAUUUACAUUUAAAAGAAUAACCACUACACAAUUUCUAUCGUUUUCAAUUUUUUCUUUCGUCCGGAUGCUCUGUACUAAACCUUUAGAAUUUAAUUACUUAUUCUGUCGCAAACACAUCCAGAUCAAGCUUUAUCUCUGUACUAUAAUUUCCCCCAUCAUAAUCACAAGAAAAAAUUGAACGCACCUUUCUUUUCUUUUCACAUGAGUGGCACAUGAAUUAGAACAACUCGAAUUGGCACGGCCAAACAGGAAACACAAGCUCUGCUUUUCUUACCCAAUUCUUUUUGUGUGUCCAGCACAGAGAUGCCCCCCUGAUGGCUAUUUUUUUCUAGUUUGUAUCCACACAUUCAGUCCACAUACUCAGACCUGGUUUUCAUGCAUCCAUCAACAGGGAGAUCAAGCAAUCUAUGACAUGCAUCCCUAAAAUUUUAAUCACCCACCCCCUAACCACAUGAACAUACUUGAAAGCAGGCAGCAUCACUGGCACCAACCAGAGGAACAACUACUGGGCCUCACCAUCCCAAAAUAAUAGUGCACUCAACACACGCGUGCACACACAUGCUAAUCAGGGAGGGGAUACCUUCUAAUCCAGCCCAGCCCCUUGGGAUCGUGCUUCACCGCCGACUUGCCGCCUCGCCAGACUCGGCAGGAGCGCCGUCUCUGCUCCCCUCGCCACCAGGUUUGCCACAACUGUCGUGAGCAGCCAUCGACGAAUCUCUCAGCCCGUCGGUUGCCCAGCCUUCGAUCUUGCUCCCCUCAUCAUGAAAGGAGGCGCGGGGCUAGGCCCCCGGCUCGAAGAUCGGCAAGCUACAGAGGAAACCAGAGCUUUUUUUGUUUAUUUACGUGACAGAUCUCCUCAUUGGCGAGGGGCGGAGGGGGGACAGGGGAGUAUGUGUGAAACGAACCUGCGCACUGGAUCCAGGGGGAAAUCUCCGGCGGCUCCCAUGGCGGCCGCUGCUGCCGCCUAACCCAUUGCCUCGCUCUCCAUCGCCUCUCCUGAUCCAUACCCUGCCCCACACCUCCUUUCUCUUUUGUGAUUUUUACCUCUUUUCUUUUGUCGGCAGCAAAGCCCCAAGACACGCGAGCGCCCUGCCCAGAGGCUCUCCUCGUACGCAAAAAAAUCCUGGACCAUGGUCCAGCUUUUGUAACAAUCCUAG